CCCUCUUCAUGCCUGCCAUAAGACCAGGGUGCUCCUGAUCACUGCCUAGUGAGUUUUAUAUCUGAAUGCCAGCUACUCAGGCUACUUAGAAAGAGCGGGCAGAGUUUUAAAGAAAGAGAAAAUUCAGCCUGUAUUCAAACUUUGAGAUUCAGAUGAUAAACUGCCAAGCUAGGGACUUUGCCUUAAUCAGAGAAGCCACAGGCAUGGCUGUUUACUGUGGUCUUUAAGAAACCAUCCGGGAGUGGAGCAUCUCUUGAAGUUACUGUGAUCGCCUCAAAUACGUGCAUUCUGGAUUUCAUCUGUUGAAUCGAAAGAGACUGACUUCAUGCCUGACACAGAACCACAUCUCCGUUAAGAGGCUCAACAUGGACACAGCAUGCAAGCAUUGGCAUUUGAGAUGUGGAGGACUGAUAGCUGAUUGGAUUAAUGUGGGUGAUGCCUUUGGGUUAAAAACAUGCUAAAAGCCUGCUGCCAAUACGAACUCAUCCCCUUCCACUGCUCUUGUUAUGCUGACAUCUGUAAGGUCACCACCUCACUUAAUUCUCAGUGGUCCAUCAACCACAGGAUGUCUGAUUGCCAGCUUACAUCACAAAGAGAAACAACUUAUUGAGAUGCUUAGAAGCCAACUGCAUUACCUUUCAUAGGCAAGACUAAUGAUUCACCAGCUGCAAGCAACAAUCGAAAAUGAGAAAAUAGAAAGAAAACACAAGCAUUUGUGGCGAACAUCCCCGAAGAUAAUUUUAAAUCCUGAUAAGUCACCAUGCUGUCCUAACCACUGGUUGCUAGCUAUUUCUUUUCUUUUGCAAAAUUAUUCUUG